ensembl:lncRNA
UGUAUCCUCACAUCAAUCCAUUACUGAACACUAGAUUCCCCCUGGAAGCUAGCUUUCCUUGGGCUUGGUCUGGGGGACACUCUUCAGCUGAGAAUAAUUUCCAGGAACAGAGACUCAACUGUGAGCUGUUAGCCAUCAAUACUACCAAAAGUUAGGGGAAUAAGUCCCUUUUAUGCCCUAAAAGAGAUAUUCUUAUAAAUUCUUGGGACAAUAAUUGUAGUUUUAGGCUGAAAGUGUGGAAAUUAUUUGUUAUAAACUCCACCUUUAAUGUAGACUGUGGGUUCUUUCAGAGCUGGAGACAUGCCUUAUUCAUCUUUCACCAAUCAGAGCAUUGAAGUAAAUGAGGGACUCACGGAAACCAAUCUGCUACAGUCUCUACUGGAAUGGAGUAAAGCAAGGAACUCAGGAGAGGUUCUCCAUUGGCUUUUCAGAAACUUCUGAAUAAAUUUCCAGUUUCUCUGCAUCCAGUCAACUCUGAUGCCCAGAGAGACUAACCAUCUCCUUUCAUCGAAUGAGUAUUCUUUUAUUCAGAACUUAUUUCCUGCUUCCUAAAAGAGAAAUUUCCAUUUCGCACUAGCUUUUGUGCACCACAGUGCAUUGACUGGCAAUUGCAAACAGCAUUUGCAGCAAAGAAGACAAAACACCCAGAAGUUCAUUUCUCAGAUCAGAGCAGAUUUCAGUUCAG